rnacentral:tmRNA from 1 species
GGGGUAGUACCGGUUUCGACGGGGGCUUUGAAUCCGGAUAAGCCAUUCAUGUACCGGACCAUGUUAAAAGCCGGAAAACUUAAAUAUAAACGCUAACGAUAAUUUAGCUUUUGCUGCGUAAUCUACGCGGCGGUCCCGCCCUUGACCCCCGCUUCAAGGGACCGGGGCCUCGACUUUGCGGGAUCCUCUUUACGCUAAGCUUUGAUCGUAAAGAACAUUCAUGAAGCUACCAAAACGUCCCGGCCUGCUUACCGGCCUGGGACUGAGGGAAGAAACAUAGAUAAGCUAUGAUGGUAGAAAGUCUGGUGGAUGGGUUUUCGGACAGGGGUUCGCCUCCCUUCUACUCCA